rnacentral:rRNA from 14 species
AAUAUUGGUGGGAGACCGAUAGCGAACAAGUACCGUGAGGGAAAGAUGAAAAGAACUUUGAAAAGAGAGUUAAAGAGUGCUUGAAGUUGCUGAAAGGGAAGUGAUGGAGUCCAGUGUCGCGCGGGU